AAACAACAAGACUAGCUCAGGAAACAUGAGGCUGUUCGUUGCUAACGAUCCAGCAGGGAAUGGAUGUCAGCUCAGGGCUUAUGAAGAGGUGAUGAUCAGGACCAGGUGUGCAGAAGGUUGAUGAGAUGCAGGUGUAGGGUAAUCACUAGAUCUCCCGCCUAACUUCGUCGCCUGGCAACCAGAUAGGGUAAUAAUAUCACUAGAUCUCCCGCCUAACUUCGUUGCCUAGCAACCAGAUAGGGUAAUAAUAUCACUAGAUCUCCCGCCUAACUUCGUCGCCUGGCAACCAGAUAGGUUUCUGAACGCACCCUUAGACUCCAAACA